rnacentral:lncRNA from 1 species
UAUAUGUUUUAAUUAGAACUUAAGCAUAUAAUUUUUAUUUCUUAUCACAAUAUUGUCAGGGAGUCCUAUCUAUCUUGUGGAUCAUGUAACUGCUUCUCUGGAAUGAUCUAGGAUGCAAAAUAUAUUGUCAGGUACAUCUGGAUAAAAUACAUUAUAAGGUGGCUAAUGGAGAUCCCAGAAUUUGUCUAUGGUAUCUAUGGUAUAAUCUUACAUGGCGGUUUGUUACUUCAGAUUAUGAAAAAGCCUGAGUGGAUCACUCCAGAGGACAGACUUGUCCCUAUCAAUAGUUUCUGUUCCACUAUUGCUGAAAAAGGAGUGAGUCCCAGGUAGCCUAGUUUUAUAGGAAAACCUGAUUUCUCAUCUUUGAAGUCACAGGAGCUAUGUUUAAAACCCAGCUCUUUUCACAUUCUAAUGAUAUGACCUUGGACAAGCCACUGGAUCUCUUAUUCCUCCUCGAAACUGAUGGAGUUGGACCGUAUAUCUGUAAGGUUCCUUUAAGUUCUAUUUUUCAUGAUUCUAUGAUAACACUUUACUGAUUAGUUUUUGCUGUGCUUAGUUAAUAGAAUCAAUAUUUUUGAUUAGAAAAGUCUAAAAAAUUAAGAUUUCUAACAUAUCUUAAGUAAAUUUACCUAUGACUUAAAUCUGAUGGUCUGGAAUAUUCAACUUAAGGAUGACAUGGCCUUGCUUCAUCUGGAAUGAUUAAUAAUAGAAAAUGUAUUAUAAGGUGGUUGACUAAUAGCAAUCUCACAUUCUGUCUAUGACCUUAUAUGGAGGUCAAUUACUUCAGCAUAUUAAAGAGGAAGUGAUAUUGAUUAGGUGGUUACUCCAGUGUAUAAACCUAUACCUACUGAAAUUUUCACUAGGUUGGGAUGGGAAAGGAGGUCUGGAAAAAGAUUCUACCCAGAAGGAAGUCACCCUACUCCAGUGGUUCUUGGCACCUACAGCUGCUUCUUCAUUCUCUAACAUCUCUGAAAUCCACUUUGACUUGGACCUUGAUUUGAAUCUUUGGCUUGGAGCUGGUGACUUGCCUCUUGGUGGCUUUGGACUUGGGACUUGGCUUCAACUUGGGACCUUAGCUCUUGGACUGCUUCUUGAAAGACUUCUCCUGGAUCUUCUCCUUUGGACUUUGACUUGGGUGAGUGAGUAGCUGGCCUUCCCUUCCUGACUUCUGGAGAGAUUAGUUCUGGAGAGGACUCCUUCUCCUGGAGGAGGCUGAGACAUCACUAAGUCCUCAGGCUGAGGGUUAAAUGAGCCCUGCCAGGCUGAGCUGGACACUGGAGCAAUAUUUAAUGUGAUAGGCUAGACAUUUUCUCUACUCUUUUCUUAUGUUUUUCUACUUUCACUCUUUCCACCUCUUUGUAAAUAAAAGCUAUUAAAAGUCAUUUUGACUUGAGCUA